GACGAACGCUGGCGGCGUGCCUAAUACAUGCAAGUAGAACGCUGAAGGAGGAGCUUGCUUCUCUGGAUGAGUUGCGAACGGGUGAGUAACGCGUAGGUAACCUGCCUGGUAGCGGGGGAUAACUAUUGGAAACGAUAGCUAAUACCGCAUAAGAGUAGAUGUUGCAUGACAUUUGCUUAAAAGGUGCAAUUGCAUCACUACCAGAUGGACCUGCGUUGUAUUAGCUAGUUGGUGGGGUAACGGCUCGCCAAGGCGACGAUACAUAGCCGACCUGAGAGGGUGAUCGGCCACACUGGGACUGAGACACGGCCCAGACUCCUACGGGAGGCAGCAGUAGGGAAUCUUCGGCAAUGGACGGAAGUCUGACCGAGCAACGCCGCGUGAGUGAAGAAGGUUUUCGGAUCGUAAAGCUCUGUUGUAAGAGAAGAACGAGUGUGAGAGUGGAAAGUUCACACUGUGACGGUAUCUUACCAGAAAGGGACGGCUAACUACGUG
rnacentral:rRNA from 1 species